CCUACGGGAGGCAGCAGUGGGGAAUAUUGCACAAUGGGGGAAACCCUGAUGCAGCGACGCCGCGUGAGUGAAGAAGUAAUUCGUUACGUAAAGCUCUAUCAGCAGGGAAGAAAAUGACGGUACCUGAGUAAGAAGCCCCGGCUACUACGGGCCAGCCGCCGCGGUAAUAAGUAGGGGGCAAGCGUUUUCCGGAUUUACUGGGGGUAAAGGGAGCGUAGACGGGGAGCCAAGUCUGGAGGGGAAUGCCGCAGCUUAAAUGCGGAACUGCUUUGGAAACUGGCGAACUAGAGUGCGGGAGGGGUAAGCGGAAUGCCUAGUGUAGCGGUGAAAGGCGUAGAUAUUAGGAGGAACACCGGUGGCGAAGGCGGCUUACUGGACCGUAACUGACGUUGAGCCUCGAAAGCGUGGGGAGCAAACAGGAUUAGAUACCCGUGUAGUC
rnacentral:rRNA from 1 species